rnacentral:misc_RNA from 1 species
UCCGAUUUGUCACCGGCAGUCUCCUAUGAGUCCCCGACAUAACUCGCUGGCAACAUGCGACGGGGGUUGCGCUCGUUGCGGGACUUAACCCAACAUCUCACGACACGAGCUGACGACAGCCAUGCAGCAUCUGUGCGCGCUCCCUUGCGGGUCCUCGCUCUUUCGAGUCCGUACCACGCGCAUGUCAAGCCCAGGUAAGGUUCUUCGCGUUGCGUCGAAUUAAACCACACGCUCCGCUGCUUGCGCGGGCCCCCGUCAAUUCCUUUGAGUUUUAGCCUUGCGGCCGUAGUCCCCAGGCGGAGUACUUAUCGCGUUAGCUGCGGCACCGAGGGGGUCGAUACCCCCGACACCUAGUACCCAUCGUUUACAGCGUGGACUAC